rnacentral:snRNA from 1 species
AGGUGAGUGUCCUCUUCUUCCCUUACCACUCCAUUUGCUGUGCGCUCAGUUGAAGAGGACAAUCAUCCCUGAUAGAGGAGGAUCGGUCCUUGGUCAAGAGUAUAUGAGUAGCUGUCCUCCUCUGCUAGGACUUUUAGACAAGCUCUCAAGAAGCUAGGACUGUUACCAUAAAGUGAUUCUGACCUGCUCAUUUUCCUGGGAAUGAUUCCAGU